CAUAACGUAACAACACCACGGGAGACUGGGAAAAAGUAAUUUGAAGUUAAAGAUUUGAUUUAAAAAAAUAAAUAAACAGAAUUCCUGUUUGAGUGUAUCCUAGCAACUGCAGCAUGUACAAUUUCAACAGGUAUGCUGAAGUGUUUGUUUACUUACAAGUAGGGUCAGUUUAUGGUUAGGUGCAUCUGGAUGUAUUAACUCAGAUAACGGUUAGGAGUUGCAAGGUAGACAGAUAGUGCUCAGGGUGAGAGCUGGGCCUGUACUGAAGUGUCCCAUUGAGCUUGCUGAAGUGGACUUAUCUCCUACCAUCCCUUCUGGCAUCUCAUUCUUUCCUGGAUUCAGACAGGGCUGAGAGUCACACUCAUCCAGCCCUCCUCACACCAUAGAGGCCUCUCUCUUCUGAGCUCAGUCCCACACUAGACCCCUCAACUAUACAUCUUCCUCACAGUUGGCAGAGUGCUGCAUGAUACUCAAGAUCAUGACUCAGAGAACAAAGGAGCGUGGACACAAGGAUGCAUAAAUUGGAGGAAAAGCUUGCCCUGAUGUACAAGGUCCAAUCUGGCAACCAUCUUCUCAGAGGAAAAGUACUGACAGGGGUUGCUAUGUUUAAAUGCUGCACUGGGGUGAAGUAGGGAUAAAGGAAAGUUGCAGGAAGAAAAUGGAAUGGUCUGAAUGAACCAAGAGAAAGCCAGAGGCAUGCGCUGUAAGUGGAACAGUUGGACUAAUGGCCCAGUAAUGUGUCCCCUUUGGGGAUUAUGCUGUGGGCUGUCACCAGACAUGCAGUCCAGGGAUGAGCUCAGCAUGUAUUCCCAUCCCCUGGCAGGCUGGAGCAGAGUAGACAGCAUGUCGUCAGACCUGGCAGAUACCCUGUACUGAUGGCUCACAGUAGCAAACUCAACACUGGGUGGGAACCAGGGAACAUGAACAAGGGAAGAGACAAAAAGGAGAUCAACUGAAGCAAGUUAGGGAA